GCUUGCUUUGGCAGCAUAUACUAAAAUUGGAACAAAACAGAGAAGAUUAGCAU
rnacentral:snRNA from 1 species